rnacentral:rRNA from 1 species
CGCUGAUCACAGGGUUAGCAAUAUUCUUGUGGUUGGAGUGGCGCAAGGGUGCGUAACACGUGGGUAAUCUGCCGUGAAGUCUGGAAUAACUUGCUGAAAGGCGAGCUAAUGCCGGAUGUGAAAACUGGAGGGCAUCUUCUGGUUUUCAAAGUUGGGGACCGCAAGGCCUGACGCUUCACGAUGAACCCGCGGCCUAUCAGCUAGUUGGUGAGGUAAUGGCUCACCAAGGCUAAGACGGGUAGCUGGUCUGAGAGGGCGACCAGCCACACUGGAACUGAGACACGGUCCAGACACCUACGGGUGGCAGCAGUCGAGAAUUUUUCACAAUGGGGGAAACCCUGAUGGAGCGACGCCGCGUGGGGGAUGAAUGGCUUCGGCCCGUAAACCCCUGUCAUUCGCGAACAAUGCCUGCGGUCUAAUACAUCGCAGGUUGAUAGUAGCGGAAGAGGAAGGGACGGCUAACUCUGUGCCAGCAGCCGCGGUAAUACAGAGGUCCCAAGCGUUGUUCGGAUUCACU